UACGGAGGGUGCAAGCGUUAUCCGGAUUCACUGGGUUUAAAGGGUGCGUAGGCGGGUAAGUAAGUCCGUGGUGAAAUCUCUGAGCUUAACUCAGAAACUGCCGUGGAUACUAUUUGCCUUGAAUAUUGUGGAGGUGAGCGGAAUAUGUCAUGUAGCGGUGAAAUGCUUAGAUAUGACAUAGAACACCAAUUGCGAAGGCAGCUCACUACACAAUCAUUGACGCUGAGGCACGAAAAGCGUGGGGGAUCAAACAGG
rnacentral:rRNA from 1 species